UACGAAGGGGGCUAGCGUUGUUCGGAAUUACUGGGCGUAAAGCGUAUGCAGGCGGAUCGUUAAGUCGGGGGUGAAAUCCCGAGGCUCAACCUCGGAACUGCCUUCGAUACUGGCGAUCUUGAGUCCGGGAGAGGUGAGUGGAACUCCGAGUGUAGAGGUGAAAUUCGUAGAUAUUCGGAAGAACACCAGUGGCGAAGGCGGCUCACUGGCCCGGUACUGACGCUGAGAUACGAAAGCGUGGGGAGCAAACAGGG
rnacentral:rRNA from 1 species